rnacentral:rRNA from 1 species
UCGAACGCUUCUUUUUCCACCGGAGCUUGCUCCACCGGAAAAAGAAGAGUGGCGAACGGGUGAGUAACACGUGGGUAACCUGCCCAUCAGAAGGGGAUAACACUUGGAAACAGGUGCUAAUACCGUAUAACAAUCAAAACCGCAUGGUUUUGAUUUGAAAGGCGCUUUCGGGUGUCGCUGAUGGAUGGACCCGCGGUGCAUUAGCUAGUUGGUGAGGUAACGGCUCACCAAGGCCACGAUGCAUAGCCGACCUGAGAGGGUGAUCGGCCACAUUGGGACUGAGACACGGCCCAAACUCCUACGGGAGGCAGCAGUAGGGAAUCUUCGGCAAUGGACGAAAGUCUGACCGAGCAACGCCGCGUGAGUGAAGAAGGUUUUCGGAUCGUAAAACUCUGUUGUUAGAGAAGAACAAGGAUGAGAGUAACUGUUCAUCCCUUGACGGUAUCUAACCAGAAAGCCACGGCUAACUACGUGCCAGCAGCCGCGGUAAUACGUAGGUGGCAAGCGUUGUCCGGAUUUAUUGGGCGUAAAGCGAGCGCAGGCGGUUUCUUAAGUCUGAUGUGAAAGCCCCCGGCUCAACCGGGGAGGGUCAUUGGAAACUGGGAGACUUGAGUGCAGAAGAGGAGAGUGGAAUUCCAUGUGUAGCGGUGAAAUGCGUAGAUAUAUGGAGGAACACCAGUGGCGAAGGCGGCUCUCUGGUCUGUAACUGACGCUGAGGCUCGAAAGCGUGGGGAGCAAACAGGAUUAGAUACCCUGGUAGUCCACGCCGUAAACGAUGAGUGCUAAGUGUUGGAGGGUUUCCGCCCUUCAGUGCUGCAGCUAACGCAUUAAGCACUCCGCCUGGGGAGUACGACCGCAAGGUUGAAACUCAAAGGAAUUGACGGGGGCCCGCACAAGCGGUGGAGCAUGUGGUUUAAUUCGAAGCAACGCGAAGAACCUUACCAGGUCUUGACAUCCUUUGACCACUCUAGAGAUAGAGCUUCCCCUUCGGGGGCAAA